UCGGCCAUAGUAACUCCAACAACAUCCUUGGAAAAAAAAAUCUUCAAAAAUUAUUUUCUAUCAAUUGAAGGAUUCCUAGCAAGGUGGAGUGGUUUUUGGAAGAAGAAAAAUUCAUAUUCUUGCAAAUUGGAAGUUUUAGCCAAGUGAAGAAGUGAGGAGAAAGAUUUUGGCGGAUUUGCACCUUGAAUUUGGAGUAGCAUAAGGAGCGGAAAAAGGUCAGCAGGUAGACAGAUUUGACUCCUAGAAGCUCCAUCAGCAGUACUGUGUCAGCGCUCCAGUUGUUCCGGAGCCUCAACUUCUUGGUAGUACUUUUGUGUACAUAUUCGGGCGCGGUAGAACCCGGCCCUUCUUAUAUAUAUAUAUAUGUGUGCUAUGUUUAGAGGCUCGUAGACAGAUAUGUACAGUCAGAUGGUUUGUACUUUUGUUCGUUUUGGGGUUGUAUAACAU